UGUUUUCGAAUCUAGUGAUUUGAGUCGGUGCAUCGAUGGGGGGUUUUGAUGGGAUAUUGGUUUUUUUUUUGGUUUGUGGUGACAGGAGGAGCUGCAGAGGACGAAUCUGGAGCUGGAGUCGUAUAAGGAGAAGAUAUAGGAGAACCAAGAGAAGAUUAAGCUCAACAAGCAACUCCCUUACCUGGUCGGCAACAUUGUGGAGAUUCUUGAGAUGAACCCUGAGGAUGAGGCUGAGGAAGAUGGUGCCAAUAUUGAUCUGGACUCACAAAGGAAGGGCAAGUGUGUCGUCCUGAAGACAUUGACACGGCAG